GCUAAAUCAAAAGCAAGAGGUGGCCGUACAGAGGAAGCAUGGGAUGCCGUUCUACCCAGAGGUAGCUCUCCUGACUCAGCUGGUACAGCAUUUCUAACAGUUUGAACACUGUAGCCAAAGCUUUUUCUGACAGAUCUCUCCUUCCCAGUACUUGCUGUGCUGCCUCACUUCCUUUUUUCUUUCUUUCCUCUUCUUAUCUGUUAGUAGGGAUUUUGGAGGGUUGGGAGAGGAAGGUGGGACAGGCACAUCAUUCCUGGAAGAGAGGAGAGGAGCAUCCAAGAUGACUUCUGUCCCCACAGCCAACUGGAACAUGAGCAUAAGCAGCAGGUGGAACAUGAGCUUUGCUGCAGCAGGCGAUCCCUGGGGACUGGCGCUGGGAGCACCAGCUGGAAAUGCUUCUCCCUCAGUAGCAUCCUCAACAGCCAACUUCUCCAAUCAGUUUGUGCAACCCUCUUGGCGCAUUGCCCUGUGGUCUCUGGCUUAUGGUGGUGUGGUGGCAGUGGCCGUUUUUGGAAAUCUCAUUGUCAUCUGGAUUAUCCUGGCUCACAAGCGCAUGAGGACGGUGACCAAUUACUUCCUGGUGAACCUGGCCUUCUCCGAUGCCUCCAUGGCUGCUUUCAAUACUCUCAUCAACUUCAUCUAUGCGCUGCACAGUGAAUGGUACUUUGGAGAAGCUUACUGCCGCUUCCACAACUUCUUCCCAAUCACAGCUGUCUUCGCCAGUAUCUACUCCAUGACAGCGAUAGCUGUGGACAGGUGA